ACUCUAGGGGGAGUGUGAGAGUUGACAUCAUCCAAGGCACCAUUGAGACGCAACAGGUGGAUGCAGUGGUUUCUCCGAUGCAUGCUGGUGAUCCACUCUCCACUCGAGUUGGGAACUGUUUAUAUGAAGCCGUUGGAUCGCAGCUCAGAGACAGUUAUUCCAAACAAGACGGUGGAAAGACACCAGGGGACACUGUGCUGGUGGAGGGGCUGAAGGAAGCCAUGUUUAACGCUGUGUUUUUUGUGCAUCUCCUUCAAUGGGACAAUGUCCUUGAUGGAACCGCAGUGCAGGUGAUGAGGCUGGCAAUCGAUAAUGUGCUAACCUCGUGUGAGAAUCAGGGCUUUACCUCAGUGGCUUUCCCAGCUCUCGGAGCCGGGAUGAUCCUUCGUUUUCCAGAGAACGUUGCGGCGCAAGUCCUACUGGAAGAAAUCCACAGUUUUAUCCAACAACGAACCAGCAAAACUCCAUUCACGAUCAACAUUGUCUGCCCUCCAAGU
ensembl:lncRNA